rnacentral:rRNA from 1 species
CCUACGGGGGGCUGCAGUGAGGAAUAUUGGUCAAUGGGCGAGAGCCUGAACCAGCCAAGUCGCGUGAGGGAGUACUGCCCUAUGGGUUGUAAACCUCUUUUGUCGGGGAGCAAAAGCCGGACUUGUCCGGCUGUGAGAGUACCCGAAGAAAAAGCAUCGGCUAACUCCGUGCCAGCAGCCGCGGUAAUACGGAGGGUGCGAGCGUUAAUCGGAAUUACUGGGCGUAAAGCGCUCGUAGGCGGUAUGUCAAGUCAAGGGUGAAAUCCCCGCGCUCAACGUGGGAACUGCCUUUGAAACUGGCAAACUGGAGUGUGUGAGAGGAUAGUGGAAUUCCAGGUGUAGGAGUGAAAUCCGUAGAUAUCUGGAGGAACAUCAGUGGCGAAGGCGACUAUCUGGACUGCGACUGACGUUGAGGCUCGAAAGCGUGGGGAGCGAACAGGAUUAGAUACCCCAGUAGUC